rnacentral:rRNA from 1 species
GAUGAACGCUGGCGGCGUGCCUAAUACAUGCAAGUCGAGCGAACAGACGAGGAGCUUGCUCCUCUGACGUUAGCGGCGGACGGGUGAGUAACACGUGGAUAACCUACCUAUAAGACUGGGAUAACUUCGGGAAACCGGAGCUAAUACCGGAUAAUAUAUUGAACCGCAUGGUUCAAUAGUGAAAGACGGUUUUGCUGUCACUUAUAGAUGGAUCCGCGCCGCAUUAGCUAGUUGGUAAGGUAACGGCUUACCAAGGCAACGAUGCGUAGCCGACCUGAGAGGGGGUAGGCCCACCGGGAAGUUGACCGGCGACACUGCGACUGAGGGACGGACGAGAGUGGGACUGUCCGCAAUAGGGGGAAAGCUUGCCGAAGGAGCGCAAGGGGGGGGAAGAAGCGCUUCGGACGGGAAAACGGUUUUAUGGGGGAAAAACAAUUGGGAAAGUAACGAAGCGUGUUUGGCGGGAACCGAUAAAGAAGCCCCGGCUAAAUACGUG